UGGAAAGGAGGGGUAAAAUCCCCCACAAUAAGAAAACCAAAGCAUCCAGCAACAGAAAAGACCAUGUGGUCCAAUAGCCUGGAGUUUUUCUUGUUUGAACCUUCUGUCCUUAUGCCUGGGGUGGAAAGUACAUGACCCAAUUAUUCAAGUUUCCGGAAAAUUCUGAAGAAUGGAAACUUACCCAAGGUUCAAAGUGAUUUUCAUUUUAAAAUAAGGGAAAUGUAUUGCAACGUGGAAAUCAGCAAGCAAAGACUAGAAAUUCAGUUACAUUUUGGAUCACGUUCAUCAGAACAGAAUAGGGAUAUCAGACCUGGGCUGAAAAAAUAUGGACAGGCAGAAAAUAUGUCUUCCUUCUCUACCGGCCAGCUGCAUUUUAGAAAGAAACUGAGCAGCUUAUCCGUAGAAGAAACAGAAAGAUAUAAUCCUCUUGUGGUGAAGACAGUGGUGGCCAGUUGAAGCUUUUAUUCCA